rnacentral:rRNA from 1 species
GCCGCGUGAGUGAUGAAGGCCUUCGGGUCGUAAAACUCUGUCCUCAAGGAAGAUAAUGACGGUACUUGAGGAGGAAGCCCCGGCUAACUACGUGCCAGCAGCCGCGGUAAUACGUAGGGGGCUAGCGGUAUCCGGAUUUACUGGGCGUAAAGGGUGCGUAGGCGGUCUUUCAAGUCAGGAGUGAAAGGCUACGGCUCAACCGUAGUAAGCUCUUGAAACUGGGAGACUUGAGUGCAGGAGAGGAGAGUGGAAUUCCUAGUGUAGCGGUGAAAUGCGUAGAUAUUAGGAGGAACACCAGUUGCGAAGGCGGCUCUCUGGACUGU